AGUGAACGCUGGCGGUAGGCCUAACACAUGCAAGUCGAAUGGCAGCACAGGAGAGCUUGCUCUCUGGGUGGCGAGUGACGGACGGGUGAGGAAUACAUCGGAAUCUACUCUGUCGUGGGGGAUAACGUAGGGAAACUUACGCUAAUACCGCAUACGACCUACGGGUGAAAGCAGGGGACCUUCGGGUCUUGCGCGAUUGAAUGAGCCGAUGUCGGAUUAGCUAGUUGGCGGGGUAAAGGCCCACCAAGGCGACGAUCCGUAGCUGGUCUGAGAGGAUGAUCAGCCACACUGGAACUGAGGCACGGUCCAGACUCCUACGGGAGGCAGCAGUGGGGAAUAUUGGACAAUGGGCGCAAGCCUGAUCCAGCCAUACCGCGUGGGUGAAGAAGGCCUUCGGGUUGUAAAGCCCUUUUGUUGGGAAAGAAAUCCAGCUGGCUAAUACCCGGUUGGGAUGACGGUACCCAAAGAAUAAGCACCGGCUAACUUCGUGCCAGCAGCCGCGGUAA
rnacentral:rRNA from 1 species